rnacentral:rRNA from 1 species
AACGAACGCUGGCGGCAUGCCUAACACAUGCAAGUCGAACGAGACCUUCGGGUCUAGUGGCGCACGGGUGCGUAACGCGUGGGAACCUGCCCUUAGGUUCGGAAUAACUCCCCGAAAGGGGUGCUAAUACCGGAUAAUGUCUUCGGACCAAAGAUUUAUCGCCUUUGGAUGGGCCCGCGUUGGAUUAGCUAGUUGGUAGGGUAAAAGCCUACCAAGGCGACGAUCCAUAGCUGGUCUGAGAGGAUGAUCAGCCACACUGGGACUGAGACACGGCCCAGAAUCCUACGGGAGGCAGCAGUGGGGAAUAUUGGACGAUGGGCGAAGGCCUGAUCCAGCAAUGCCGCGUGAGUGAUGAAGGCCUUAGGGUUGUAAAGCUCUUUUACCCGGGAUGAUAAUGACAGUACCGGGAGAAUAAGCUCCGGCUAACUCCGUG